CAAAGUGCUGUUCGUGCAGGUAGUGUGAUUACCUGACCUACUGCUGAGCUAGCACUUCC
rnacentral:pre_miRNA from 2 species